CAGUGCAGGAGACCAGAGACAAAGACGUUUUAGUAGUCUCUGUGUGUUCAGCUCUCAGUAGUUGCACGUUCUGACUGAAUUUCUAGCCCCGUUUGGAUAGGAAUUGUGCAAAUUUGCAGGAAAGCCCAGUCUUCAUUCAGCAUUGGCAGUAUAAAAACACAGGGAGUGCGGCAAAAUGCGCCUACCUACUUUUGUUUAUACAGAAUGCGCCCUUUUCGGGGCAAUGGGGGCGUGAUCAAGUAACAAAACGUGUAGCUCAGCGUGUGACGUAAACAGUGACGUGGGAAGGAAGCCGCUGCUGGUCAGUCUUUCGGCGAUUCUCUCGUAAAUCGGCCCGUUCUUCACCACCCCCGUCAUCUGAUGGUUAAUGGCCUCUUCGUUUGCGAGGAAGGAAGGAAAGCUCUAACCUGCUGGUGGUGCCAGAGGAAAAAUAAUGGGAUCACCAACUUCAAGUUGGGUUCAUCAUCUGGGAACUAUGAAUUUCGUGCAUCGUAAAGCAGAGAAUGAGCCCUUCAUAUCUACAUAGAGAGAGCGUCCUCUUGCACGGAGCCCGCCAUGCUGAACCGACGUUUUUCUACAGUAGCCCACAACAGACAAAACAAACACUGACUCCAGAUGGGGCUUUUCACAUUUUCCAUUCCCUGAAGGCCACCAUAGAUCCCUCCACAGGCCUGGAAAGGGAGGGGUGAGGGGAGGGGGCUCAGUUGGUUGCAGUCUGCAGCCUUAUCACCAGAUGCCACUAAAUCCAUAGCACACACUGCUACUUUUAGAUGUCUCAAUCUUGACCAAAGUGGUGGACGGAUCAACCACAUCACC